rnacentral:rRNA from 1 species
GAUGAACGCUAGCGGCAGGCUUAACACAUGCAAGUCGAGGGGUAUAGCACUUCGGUGCUAGAGACCGGCGCACGGGUGCGUAACGCGUAUGCAAUCUACCUUUCACAGAGGGAUAGCCCAGAGAAAUUUGGAUUAAUACCUCAUAGCAUAACGACCUGGCAUCAGGAUGUUAUUAAAGUCACAACGGUAGAAAAAUAGAG